UACGAAGGGGGCUAGCGUUGUUCGGAAUUACUGGGCGUAAAGCGCGCGCAGGCGGCUAUCCAAGUCAGUGGUGAAAGCCCGGAGCUCAACUCCGGAACUGCCAUUGAAACUGUUUAGCUUGAGGAUGAGAGAGGUGAGUGGAAUUCCCAGUGUAGAGGUGAAAUUCGUAGAUAUUGGAAAGAACACCGGUGGCGAAGGCGGCUCACUGGCUCAUUACUGACGCUCAUGCACGACAGCGUGGGGAUCAAACAGG
rnacentral:rRNA from 1 species